AAACUGGGCUAUAAGGUUAAAUGAAUGUAUUUUUAUAGAUUCCACAGGCUGACCAGGGACUGGUACAUCUGAGCUAUAUUCUACAACCCUAAGGACAAGAAUUCUGCCGGAAAUUUCAAUAGCAGAGAAAGAAGCAACUAAAAAGCAUAACCUGGACUUCCUGGUGGCGCAGUGGUUGAGAGUCCGCCUGCCGAUGCAGGGGGCACGGGUUCGUGCCCCGGUCCGGGAAGAUCCCACAUGCCGCAGAGCGGCUGGGCCCCGGGAGCCAUGGCCGCUAAGCCUGCGCAUCCGGAGCCUGUGCUCCGCAACGGGAGAGGCCACAGCAGUGAGAGGCCCGCGUACCGCAAAAAAAAAAGCAUAACCUUGUUGAAGAAUUCUUUGUUGUCCCUCGAUAUCUGCAAGGGAUUGGUUCCAGGACCACCUCGAAGAUACCAAAAUCCGACGACACUGGAGUUUCGUAUGGCAUACUAGAGUCGGCUUUAUGUAUCAACAGUUUCUGCAUCUCAUGGAUGAAGAGAGUCAACCAUAUUUUUAUCCUCAGCAAGUAAUUGAGAACUUUGGCUGAAAAGACUGCGAAGAAAGACAGCAUUCCUCCCCUUAAGGUAAGUUAACCUUAGUCUUCUCAACUAGAUUGUAAACUCCUUAAAAAUUUAGAACAAUUCUCCUUUUUACUGUUGUGAGGCUGGGCACCCCAGGAGAGAUGAAAUUGAUACAUUGUGGGAGGGUGAUGAGGAGGAUGUUUCUCAUAUUUUUUCAGCUGAUAGUGUAGCCAGAGAAUGACCUUUGUAUCCUUGAACAAGUCCUCCUACCUAGAACCUCCCUUAGGGGACAAGUCACCAUGGAGUCCCUGUGGGUAGCAUCCUUAGUAAAGCAGGCAAGCAGCCCAUUACCUAAGGAAAAGUUACUUGAGAAUUUUAAAAUGAAAGAUGACCUUCCUUUGAGGGGUUUGCACCCAGAUAGGUAUCAUAUUCUGGAACCAGUCCUAACUCAGCAUUCCUGAUUCCUUUUGGAAUUCCUCUUUCCUUUUACCCUCAUGAGAUUAUCCAAUGCCUUUGGCUGUUUCCUCUGUUUGAAGGAUCUUCUCCCCAGAUAUCUGACGGCUCAUUCCCUGGCUUCCUUUAACCUUAACUAUAAAACAACUUUCUUCUCUUGGGGCUUCCCUGGUGGCACAGUGGUUGAGAGUCCGCCUGCCGUUGUAGGGGACACGGGUUCGUGCCCCGGUCCGGGAGGAUCCCACAUGCCGCGGAGCGGCUGGGCCCGUGAGCCAUGGCCGCUGAGCCUGCGCGUCCGGAGCCUGUGCUCCGCAAUGGGAGAGGCCACAACAGUGAGAGGCCCGCGUACCGCAAAAAAAAAAAAAAAAAAAAAAAAUCAACAACAACUUUCUUCUCUAAAAUUACAAGCUCCUCUCUGGGAAGCACACAUACACACAAACUUCUUGUCCCCUUUCCCUGCUUUCUUUUUCUCUUUAACCCAUGUCAAUAUUUAACACACAUUCUCUCUGUGUCUCUGUGUCUCUCUCUGUCUCUCUGUCUCUCUCUCUCUAUAUAUAUAUAGUUGGCUCAUUUAUCAUUGUUUUUUGUCUGCCUUCCCCAUUAGAAUUAAAGGUCCAUGAAGACAGGGAUUUUUGUCUGUUUUAUUAACUACCCUAGCCCCAGCACCAAGGACAGUGUCUUCUGCAUUAUUAUAUGGGCUCAAUAAAUAUUUGUUGAGUGAAUAAUUCAAUUACUGGACAUGUUCUUUGUAAUCUCAAAUGGAUGGCCUCCUUCUCUAGGGAUUUUCAUGCUCACAAGCCACCACUGGGGAAUUUUACCUGGUAACUUUUGUCUUAAACAAUUCUUCAUUCACUUCGCCACUCCCAUGUUCCAUUCUCUUGGAAUUUUUUUAGAUGAUUGGGAAUUAUUCUUAAAAAAAUUAGGUGAAUGCAGAUGGCUAAAAUUAAGUACAGUAGUCCAGAUACAAUUUUCCACGGUGGGAGUCCUCAGUGACUCAUCCCAAAGAGUCAAAAAUGUGAAAAUUUCAGGAAAUGUGGCAGUCUUUUGGGAAAAAUUUGAGGGCAAGCGAGUGUUAAACAUACAGUGUAGAAAGCUGCCUUUGCCUUCUAUGUCUGUGUUCAACCCUGGGUCUUCCAAUAUAAUCACCCUGGCUUAAAGCUGAUGUAUUGUAAAGAUAAAAAUUAAUAGGUUCAAUAGCUGUUUACUGAAAGGGCAAUUCAUUUAGGAAUACUUUUUAGCAAAGAUAUGGGCUUUUUAGCCAAGACAUUUUUACUUGACUACAAUUUAAGCCAAUUUCCUUUUGUUUAGCCCACGAGAGAGUCAAUAGCUAGUUCUCGUUAUCCAUCUUUCUCACAGUAAUAUUUCAAAGGUUUAAUAAAGGACAAUACAAAACUUUUGCAAGUAUAAACUGCGAGAGGAAUAAUGAUGGCUUUAUUCUUUAGUGGUUCCAUGUCACCUUGCUAUAUCUUGCUUGUCAUUCACUAAUUAAAUGUCAGUUCCCAAUUGCUACAUGGGUAAAAGUGUUAUUUGACAUAAUCUAAAAUAGAAUCUAAUUAAAACUCAGUUGCGCUUGGAUGCCUAUACUGUUUGUCCUCCCAUUCCUCAUGUUCCGCCCAGUCUCUCUAGUCUGCUUUACUGUUCUUCCCCUCCCUCUACUACUCACCUGUCAAUUCCCACCCCAUUUCCCACCACGACAUAGAAUAAGUGAAGGCCAACUCCUCUCCAGCUGUAAUUUACUAUUACCAUUCCCAUAUAUUUUCAACUGAUAGUGUAGCCAGAGAAUGACCUUUACCAGUCCCAUCCCCAUUGUCCUAGUGUUGUAUCGUGCUACCUACAGAUUUCAUGCUGGUUUUGUCUUUUGGCUUCUAUUUUAUUUUAUUGUCAGGAAUUGUGUCACUGAAGAUCACUUGGCAAAACUAAGAACCGGUGUUAAAUAACCUUACUGUGAGUGAAGCAUGUGUUUAGGAGGCAGUAAGAGAUGAAGGCUGGCAGUAAGUGGCAGCCACAGUCGAAAUUUACUGGUUCUUGGAUUAACCUCAACCCCACAACAGAAGCAAAUGUGUGAUUUUGCCAAUGGAAGGACAGCAAUUUUCAGAAUAAGCUUGUUCUUAGAAUAGGUAACUUGUGGCACUAACUGGCUCCUAUAUUUCCUUAUUUUACCUCAAACAACAUUAAAACCAUGAGCAGUAUUUUGAGAAAAUAGAGUUGUCUCUUGAAGAAGAUUCCAUAAAACAAAAAACAGAAAGUAUAUCAUAACAUACUUGUAUGAGUCUCUGCACAAUAUCACUGUGAGGCAGGAAACUAAGUUACAGAAAAUUCAGACGACCUGCCUCAGUUUGCAAAGAAAGUCACAUUCAACUCUCAA